UACGUAGGGCGCAAGCGUUGUCCGGAAUUAUUGGGCGUAAAGAGCUCGUAGGCGGUUUGUCGCGUCUGCUGUGAAAACCUAAGGCUCAACCUUGGGCUUGCAGUAGGUACGGGCAGACUAGAGUGCGGUAGGGGUGACUGGAAUUCCUGGUGUAGCGGUGGAAUGCGCAGAUAUCAGGAGGAACACCGAUGGCGAAGGCAGCCCCCUGGGCUGACACUGACGCUGAGGCACGAAAGCGUGGGGAGCAAACAGG
rnacentral:rRNA from 1 species